UAGUUUAGUUGGUCGGACGGGUGGAGGUAACACGUGAGCAACCUAGCCUUCGAGAGGGGAAGUAACGGACUGGAAACGGUCGCUAAUACCGCAUAAUGUACGGAUGGGACAUCCUGUCGGUACCAAAGAUUUAUCGCUCGAAGAUGGGCUCGCGUCCGAUUAGGUAGUUGGUGAGGUAACGGCCCACCAAGCCGACGAUCGGUAGCCGGACUGAGAGGUUGAACGGCCACAUUGGGACUGAGACACGGCCCAGACUCCUACGGGAGGCAGCAG
rnacentral:rRNA from 1 species